rnacentral:rRNA from 1 species
UGCCAGCCGCCGCGGUAACACGUAGGUGGCGGGCGUUAUUCGGAAUCACUGGGCGUAAAGGGUUCGUAGGGGGCUGAAUUAGUCUGAUGUGAAAGCCGGGAGCUUAACUCCCGAAGUGCAUUGGAAACUGUUCAGCUAGAGUAUAUGAGAGGCAAGCGGAAUUCGUGGUGUAGCGGUGGAAUGCGUAGAUAUCACGAGGAAGGCCAAAGGCGAAAGCAGCUUGCUGGCAUAUUACUGACCCUGAGGAACGAAAGCUAGGGGAGCGAAAAGGAUUAGAUA